rnacentral:rRNA from 1 species
ACUCCUACGGCAGUAGCGGGGGGAAUUUUGCGCAAUGGGGGAAACCCUGACGCACAACGCCGCGUGGGUGAUGAAGGCCUUCGGGUCGUAAAGCUCUGUCAGAGGGAAAGAAGUGCAGGGGUGCUAAUACCAUCAUUGCUUGACGGUACCCUCAAAGGAAGCACCGGCUAACUCCGUGCCAGCAGCCGCGGUAAU